rnacentral:tRNA from 1 species
GCCUGGGUGGCUCAGUCUGUUAAGCGUCUGAUUGUGGCUCAGGUCAUGAUCUCACGGUUUGUGAGUUCGAGCCCCACGUCAGGCU